AACGAACGCUGGCGGCAUGCCUAACACAUGCAAGUCGAACGAGACCUUCGGGUCUAGUGGCGCACGGGUGCGUAACGCGUGGGAACCUGCCCUUAGGUUCGGAAUAACUCCCCGAAAGGGGUGCUAAUACCGGAUAAUGUCUUCGGACCAAAGAUUUAUCGCCUUUGGAUGGGUCCGCGUUGGAUUAGCUAGUUGGUAGGGUAAAAGCCUACCAAGGCGACGAUCCACAGCUGGUCUGAGAGGAUGAUCAGCCACACUGGGACUGAGACACGGCCCAGACUCCUACGGGAGGCAGCAGUGGGGAAUAUUGGACAAUGGGCGAAAGCCUGAUCCAGCAAUGCCGCGUGAGUGAUGAAGGCCUUAGGGUUGUAAAGCUCUUUUACCCGGGAUGAUAAUGACAGUACCGGGAGAAUAAGCUCCGGCUAACUCCGUG
rnacentral:rRNA from 1 species